UACAGAGGUCUCAAGCGUUGUUCGGAUUCAUUGGGCGUAAAGGGUGUGUAGGUGGCGCCGUAAGUCGGGUGUGAAAUCUCGGGGCUUAACUCCGAAACUGCAUUCGAUACUGCGGUGCUUGAGGACUGGAGAGGAGACUGGAAUUCAUGGUGUAGCGGUGAAAUGCGUAGAUAUCGGAAAGGAACACCUGUGGCGAAAGCGGCUCACUGGACCAUAACUGACGCUGAGGCACGAAAGCUAGGGGAGCAA
rnacentral:rRNA from 1 species